UAGUCCACGCCGUAAACGAUGUCAACUAGCCGUCGGGCUCAUUAUAAGGGUUUGGUGGCGCAGCUAACGCGAUAAGUUGACCGCCUGGGGAGUACGCCGGCAACGGUAAAACUCAAAGGAAUUGACGGGGGCCCGCACAAGCGGUGGAGCAUGUGGUUUAAUUCGAUGCAACGCGAAGAACCUUACCUACCCUUGACAUCCUCAGAACUUGUUAGAGAUAACUUGGUGCCUUCGGGAAUUGAGUGACAGGUGCUGCAUGGCUGGCGUCAGCUCGUGUCGUGAGAUGUUGGGUUAAAGUCCCGCAACGAGCGCAACCCUCGUCCCUAGUUGCCAGCACAUAAUGUGGGAACUCUAGGGAGACUGCCGGUGACAAACCGGAGGAAGGUGGGGAAUGACGUCAAGUCAUCAUGGCCCUUAUGGUAGGGCUACGACAACGUGCUACAAUGGUCGGUACAGAGGGUUGCGAACCGCGACGGGGAGGCGUAAGUCUCANAAAACGAACUACGAGUACGGACUGGUAGUCGUU
rnacentral:rRNA from 1 species